GUCAUUUUUAAAAUUCAGAGACAUUAGAGGUUAUUUUAAAAACUGCCUGUGUGCCCACGUGCAUAUGGUGAACAGACCAAAGGGCGCGGAGUAUGAAAACCUCCACAGGAUAAAAUGCUGUUUGUUUAAUCCCACUGGAAGAUCUGAUUGCCACUGGCAAGAGUUCACGUAUUUGCCUGACUUCUCACUGUAAACACAAUGGCAGAAACAUCAGAGGCCCCUGGACUGGGGAUGUUUAUAUGAGCAGAGAGCCUGGAGAUGGAACAGAGAUAUGAGUGCUGAUCUGUGAAAGGAACCACCGCUGUAUCGCUGCUGCUCGCCAUCACACACAAACACCAUCUGGAUGCCUCUCACCAGACGGAGAAGACCUCACACCUGCACACCCGACAGAAACAGAAACACACACACACACACACACACACACACACACACACACACACACACACACACACACACACACACACACACACACACACACACACACACACACACACACACACACACAAACACUGAUAUUUAUGUGAAUUUCUUUGAGUUUGUUAGAUGCUCCCAAAGUCAUGAUGAAAUAAAAAAAAAAAAAAAAAAGAAGUGGAGGAAAGUUUACAAAAGACAAAACUACCACAUGCUCACAUUCGAAACUAUUAAUGAACACACUGAGAACUGUUCUUUCACUAAUUCUCUCUUUUUGGUGUCUACAGAUCAAAUUCUACUGACUCCAGUUGUCUUCUAAUCUUUCAUUCUUUUCACGCUCCUUGACUUUCUUCGCCUCUGAGUUUUGAAUUUUUAAAAGCUCUUUACAACGCAGCCGAGCAUGAAAACGGAGAAAGGACGACUUGGAGAAAAUUUGUUAACUGGCAGAAGAGUAAACAAUGGGCCGCUGAAAAAGACUGUCGGGAGGAAGGGUUUUCCUCUCAGAGGUCAGGGGGCAGCUGGUUCAUUGACACUGGCUCAGACAGUUGACAUUUGAGAUACAUUUUGGAUCACUGCAAAGAGCGUGUUGUUUUUCAUAUGUACGAUUGUUGUAUUUGUGUUGACAUUGACGUGUUAUGUAUUUUUGCAGA